ensembl:lncRNA
ACAGAGCUGACUAUGGUCCUCUGCAUUUUCGAGGAAUACACCAUUGAGGGCGGCUGUUUUGGGGAGCAAGUGAGGACAGGAGGAUACCCUGGGUUCUAUAUCUUGCAUCAACAAUUGCUUCAACCAGUCUCGAACCAUCUACGAUGAAGAAAUGCAGCGGCGGCGUGAUGGAGCCCACAGAGGGACGGCCUCUCUGCUCCUCCUGCCUGGCGGCGCUUCCAGCAACAGGCCUUGUGUGGCCCCUGCGCCCCCGUGGAGCCAUGCUGUUCGCUUUGCCGGUGCCAAGGUGGAGGAAAACAACUGAAGCGAGGGGGGAUGGACCCCGACCCCAAGGGGGAUCCCCCUAGACCCUGACAUUUCCCCCUUUUCUCUCUACAGUCGGUUGUGCUGUAAGGAGAAUUCAAAGUUGCUUGUGGAAUGUUCCUCCAUCGCUGACCUCCAUAGCCACCCUGCAGCUGCCCUGCAGUGUUAUUCACCGCUUGCAGACAAGCCAUUCCAUCACACACUAUGUGAAGGUGGGAGGGGGCAGACAGCUUUUUAUCAGCUGUCUGCUCGUCCACUCCUUGAGCGCAAUGCGGGUUGGCUAAAGUGACGCUUUUCUCAACCUCGGUGUAUUUUUCACGCUUUCAGAUAAGCAACUCCAUCACACACAGGGCCCUAUUUUAACGGUAUCAAACGCAAGUGAAAAGCGCCAAACGCAAGUAGCUUUGUCGGUGUUUCUAUGGCGAUGUUGCUAUUGUACCGGCGGAUAAAUGACUCUUUCGCAAACGAAAAAGGGUUGCGCUGAAGUAGCCUAAUUACCUGUAGGUGUGGUUUGGACGUAACGUGCAAUGAACAGAAUCAGAGCGUAAUCUCACAUUCACUUUAAAAGCGAGGCACACUUGUUCCAUGGCGGAUUUCUAUUAUUAUGGCAUUUGCCAGGUGCACACCAGGAACGGUUCACAGCCGAGGAGACCGAUGUGCUCGUCAGAGCGCUUACUUUGUAUGGGGAUGGGAGAAACCCACCCAAAAUAGCAUCAGUUAAACAGGCCUGGGCAGAAAUCGCCACAGUUGCAUCAGAGGGCUACAACGAUGUCCGAAGGGGAGGUAAGGCCAAGCUUGCUGGCAACAAUCGAACACGCCGAAUGACUGGAGGUGGAUCUGCCAGUAACCAGGACCUCACGCAUCCCCUGGUUUGCCCAUUCACCUGCCUGCCACCCUGAUCUCCCCUAAUUAACCCAACCACCUUCACCUGUGAUCCUCUAUAUAAAUUCUCUCUCUCCACUCAGUCUCUGCCAGAUCGUCUCUCGUACUCACAGAGCUUUCCCGCAACUCCUGAACUGUUUCUACAACGCUGAUCCUGCCUGUUUCCGACCCCUCGCCUGUCUGACCACCCGCCUGUUGUCGAGUCCCUGCCGGCCUGUCUGCUUCCCUGUUUCCUGCUCCUCGCCUGCCUGUCUGCCCUCCCGUUGCCGACCCCUCGCCUGUCUGACCACCCGCCUUUUGUCGAGUGCCUGCCGGCCUGUCUGCUUCCCUGUUUCCUGCCCCUCGUCUGCCCUCCCGUUGCCGACCCCUCUCCCGGUCGGAGAACGCGCUGCAGCAGGUGAUGGCCGCCACCAGGGCCGCCACAGCUCAGGGACAGCAAGACCUGGCACAAGUCCCUUAGGAAUCGGCGAACGUCCAGGCCGGCGCCACCGCCCCACGUCCGGCCCCAGAGGCGACCGAAACUCCCGCCCCUCCACCCUGUGAGUAGUAUAUAAUAUAUGCUGUUUGGGUCCAUUCCUAUCUGAACACACUUCCGGUUGGGGAGGGGUGGGGGUGGAGGGGGCUAUCCCUAUUCACAAGAGCCACUUCCUGUUUAUGGUUUAUGACGGGUCAUAAAACAUAAAACCCAUUGUGUAGGGAUGACAGGUGUAAUGCCUGUGGUGGACCUGCAGGGGUCGCUGGGGUGCGGGAUCUGUAUAGGCAGAGGUGUGUAUGUGGGUGUGUUUAAUGUAUGCGUGCGUGCGUGCGUGCGUGCGUGCGUGCGUGCGUGCGUGCGUGCGUGCGUGCGUGCGUGCGUGCGUGUGUGCGUGCGUGUGUGUGUGUGUGUGUGUGUGUGUGUCGUAUUAAUGUGUUUUUUAAUCUACCCUACUAUUUUACGAAACCGGCAGAUACAUUUAUAUAUAGUAAUGGGGGUACCGAUAACAUAUCCGUAAUCAUCCUUAUAUAUACUAUAGAUAUAUAUAAAUAUUUAUAGAUAUAUUUAUAUUAGGAUUAAAAGGAGGGUUCACCAACGGUCCAUAGAACUAGCAUAGUGAAGAUACGGACUGUGGUACACAUUGCCAAUAUAUUAGGUGAUAUCAUGAUACUAUUAAGCGCUUUGAGUACGUGAAAAGCGCUAUAUAAAUUGAAUCUAUUAUUAUUAUUAACAGAUAUUCUAGUGAUUUUCAUCUAACAUGGUGUAUUUGGAUCAACUUUAUUUUACCAUUAGUAGAUUGUCUGUCUAUGAUGCGUUGAGUGGGCGUAGGCCUGUGGUACCUACGUGUGCGUGGGUCCAGUACCUAUUGGACAGGCGUCUAUGACGUCGGGGCCUUAGGUGUGAAUGUCUACCGAGGGACUGCUAUCAGGCAUAAAUAUACGGGGCCCCGUGAUACGGGAGCGUACGACCUCCGACCCUGACGUUAGACACGCUAUUCUAAGUUAGUAAACGCGUCGUAGCAGUUGGAAGAAAAAAAAAAAAACAGCGAUCCGUCCUGCACAACUAUGCCGACUGACUCGAAUUGCGGUGCCGGAGGCGAGAGCGUGAAACAGCAGCAGGGUCCACGUGGAAAUUUGCCUGAUAUUCGGCUCAACAUUCAAAGACCGAUUCUAGCAGACCAGACUAAUGUGCUGACAAGCGGUAGUUUUGUACCUAUCGAGGCCAAUGUCAUUCAGCGAACCCCCGGACCAAAUCGACUGUCCAAGAAGAAUUUGAAAAGAUCGGCGGGGUAGUGGUGGCUAUACCCUGUUCACCACUGGCCAUAGAACAGCUACAAAUUCCUUAUAAAAAGGCUCGCAAGGAUGCCACACAUAAUGGUUUAACUCCGGAGAAUAUUACCCAGGUUAUACAGGCAGUCAUAAAUCCGCAAAUUGCGCCACAUGGAGCGGCAUGGACUGAUCCCAAACACCGGGUGAUCGGGGACGUGGAGGUGUAUGUGCAUGAGUCGCCUACAGAGACCGUCACUGUGCAACCGGUUGGGACUAUACAGCACGCCCAUGGAGAUCCCCAGUGUUCGCCACCACCAGAGCUGACCGCCGACGAUUGGGCUGGUCUUGACGACAUCUCGUCCUGGACCUCAUCGUUGUUGGAACAUAUCGACUUCACUCCUGCGCAGUGGAUCGACUCUCCAGCUACAUCCGUAGAGGCUACCACCAGUGCAGAGCCUGUACAACACCAUCAGCCUGCAGAUCCUGCAUCUGGACCCCUACAAGCCGUUCAAGACCCUAUCAGCGACCCCCCGUGCACCGUGAGUCCCAUCGCUCAUGAGGUAGCGGUGCCGAGGCUACCAGCCGGUCCCGCAUUGCUGUUGAUGAACACCAUGCAGGGGUGCAAGGUGAUAAAUGGCGUAAACAAUUUGCUGAUAAACUAGCUGUGUUAACUGCGUCGGUAGAUGUAAACUCCUUAGGCAUUGCUCGUCAGCGUAAACUGGGG